AAAUUGAAGAGUUUGAUCAUGGCUCAGAUUGAACGCUGGCGGCAGGCCUAACACAUGCAAGUCGAGCGGAAACGACAACAUUGAAUCUUCGGAGGAUUUGUUGGGCGUCGAGCGGCGGACGGGUGAGUAAUGCCUAGGAAAUUGCCUUGAUGUGGGGGAUAACCAUUGGAAACGAUGGCUAAUACCGCAUAAUGCCUACGGGCCAAAGAGGGGGAUCUUCGGACC
rnacentral:rRNA from 1 species